CCAGGAUUUCUGUUCAAGAACAGUAUCAAGGUGAGUUGCCUUUGCCUGGAGGAGAAUGUGGAGAGCGAUCCCUGUAAGUUUGCCCUGACAUCCAGGACGGGCGAUGCCGUGGAGACACUGGCCAGGGCACCUGGACACCCAACUUCUCCAGAGAUGGCUGGGCCUCAGGCCUCCAGAGAGGAUGCGGGGCAGGUCGAGUGCUUCUGCACCGGGCUCACUUUGCGGUCACUUGCAUUGUAUUCUCAGGCUGACGGGUGUCUCUGCUGGGCUCCCCCAACUCUGUGGGCUCCUCACUGUCCUCCGGCUGUUUCCUACAGGGCAGGUGACCCAGCCCAUAACACUCCUGAAGGCAUGCGUGAGUGCACAGAACUGUUCUAACGAGUGUAUGUUUGAUCGCUUUAUAAAUUUUUAAAUACAUUUCCCUAAAAGGG
rnacentral:lncRNA from 1 species